rnacentral:rRNA from 1 species
AUGAGUUGUCAUGAUGACAUCAACAUCCCCGAUGGCAAGUUCUACCUAGGAGAUGCUGGGUAUGCAUGUCGGCCAGGUAUUCUUCCACCCUUCAGGAAAAUCAGGUACCAUCUGAACGAGUUCACUGGUAGGAACUAUCCUAGGACUCCACAAGAGCUGUUCAAUCUCAGACACCCCAGCUUUAGAGUUACCGUUGAGAGGGCAUUUGGAGCUCUGAAGAACAGGUUUAAGAUCCUAGAUCAUAAGCCAUUCCACACUUUCCCCACUCAGGUUAAGCUUGUUCUUACUCGUUGCAUUCUGCAUAGCUGGAUCUUGCAAUAGGGUGCUGAUGAACUGGUGCAGGAGGAGGAAGAUGUGACGGAGGAUGAUGUUGUCAGCUCCGGCCAUGGUGUGGAGGCAUUUGACAACUAAGCCUGUAAGAACAAAAGAAUGAAGUGCGCACAUGUGUGA